rnacentral:rRNA from 1 species
ACGGGUGAGUAACGCGUAAGGGACUUGCCCUGCAGUCAGGGAUAACAGACGGAAACGACUGAUAAAACCUGAUAAAGUCAGGCGGAUUCAUGUCCAGCCUGAUGAAAAGGAAUGCUGCAGGAGAGCCUUGCGUCCUAUUAGCUUGUUGGUGGGGUAACGGCCCACCAAGGCGAUGAUAGGUAGCCGGCCUGAGAGGGUGGACGGCCACAAGGGGACUGAGAUACGGCCCUUACUCCUACGGGAGGCAGCAGUGGGGAAUAUUGGACAAUGGGGGCGACCCUGAUCCAGCAAUUCUGUGUGCACGAUGAAGGUCUUCGGAUUGUAAAGUGCUUUCAGCAGGGAAGAAAAAAAUGACGGUACCUGCAGAAGAAGCGACGGCUAAAUACGUGCCAGCAGCCGCGGUAAUACGUAUGUCGCGAGCGUUAUCCGGAAUUAUUGGGCAUAAAGGGCAUCUAGGCGGCCGGAUAAGUCUGGGGUGAAAACUUGCGGCUCAACCGCAAGCCUGCCCUGGAAACUAUGCGGCUAGAGUACUGGAGAGGUGGACGGAACUGCACGAGUAGAGGUGAAAUUCGUAGAUAUGUGCAGGAAUGCCGAUGAUGAAGAUAGUUCACUGGACGGUAACUGACGCUGAAGUGCGAAAGCUAGGGGAGCAAACAGGAUUAGAUACCCU